rfam:Escherichia hermannii NBRC 105704 DNA, contig: EH10570404.
UUUGCAUCUGAGCUUCCGAGGAUUUGAACCUCCGGGGGCAGGAGGUUCGGGUCGAGCAUAGCGAGACAACGUUGCGCAGCAACGGCCCGCCAGCGCACCCGCCAUAUCCCCGCCGCUUAACCCCUGAAGCGCCGCCG